rnacentral:rRNA from 1 species
CCUACGGGAGGCAGCAGUGAGGAAUAUUGGUCAAUGGACGAGAGUCUGAACCAGCCAAGUAGCGUGAAGGAUGACUGCCCUAUGGGUUGUAAACUUCUUUUAUAUGGGAAUAAACUGUUUCACGUGUGGGAUUUUGUAUGUACCAUAUGAAUAAGUAUCGGCUAACUCCGUGCCAGCAGCCGCGGUAAUACGGAGGAUCCGAGCGUUAUCCGGAUUUAUUGGGUUUAAAGGGAGCGUAGGUGGAUUGUUAAGUCAGUUGUGAAAGUUUGCGGCUCAACCGUAAAAUUGCAGUUGAAACUGGCAGGCUUGAGUACAGUAGAGGUGGGCGGAAGUCGUGGUGUAGCGGUGAAAUGCUUAGAUAUGACGAAGAACUCCGAUUGCGAAGGCAGCUCACUGGACCGCAACUGACACUGAGGCUCGAAAGUGUGGGUAUCAAACAGGAUUAGAUACCCGGGUAGUC